rnacentral:rRNA from 1 species
UACGUAGGGUGCAAGCGUUGUCCGGAAUUAUUGGGCGUAAAGAGCUCGUAGGCGGUUUGUCGCGUCUGCUGUGAAAACUCGGGGCUUAACUCCGGGCCUGCAGUGGGUACGGGCAGACUAGAGUGCGGUAGGGGAGAUUGGAAUUCCUGGUGUAGCGGUGGAAUGCGCAGAUAUCAGGAGGAACACCGAUGGCGAAGGCAGAUCUCUGGGCCGUAACUGACGCUGAGGAGCGAAAGCGUGGGGAGCGAACAGG